CCCUGAACACGACAGUCCCGGACUCAUGAUAUACUGCAUACACAUAAGAUAGAUCUUUAAGAUCUUGCUAAAGAUCUGAGGAAUGGCCACAUCCAGGAGUAUGCUGUCGUUGACAAUAACUUCAGAUGUUACGUGCUGCAGGUCUCAGGCUGCUUACCAUAUGUACAAGAAAGUUGGCUUCCAUCGUCCCCAUUUAUAAAAGAACCGGUUGAAAAUUGUGGUUUGCCAGCGGAUGUGAAAUGGCGAGAUGCUCAGUCCUUGUGUGGAAAGCCAUUGUUCAUAAGUGUUCUUGUACGAUUUUGAUGACUAAGAAAGAGAAAUAAAAGCAUAAUAUCUACUGUCAA